GAUGAACGCUGGCGGCGUGCCUAAUACAUGCAAGUCGAGCGAACAGACGAGGAGCUUGCUCCUCUAACGUUAGCGGCGGACGGGUGAGUAACACGUGGAUAACCUACCUAUAAGACUGGGAUAACUUCGGGAAACCGGAGCUAAUACCGGAUAUUAAUUUAACCCGCUUGGUUCAUUAGUAAAGAACGGUUUUGCGGUCCCUUCUGGGUGGAUCGGCGCCGCAUUAGCUAGUUGGUAAGGUAACAGCUUACCAAGGCAACGAUGCGUAGCCGACCUGAGAGGGUGAUCGGCCACACUGGAACUGAGACACGGUCCAGACUCCUACGGGAGGCAGCAGUAGGGAAUCUUCCGCAAUGGGCGAAAGCCUGACGGAGCAACGCCGCGUGAGUGAUGAAGGUCUUCGGAUCGUAAAACUCUGUUAUUAGGGAAGAACAAAUGUGUAAGUAACUAUGCACGUCUUGACGGUACCUAAUCAGAGAGCCACGGCUAAUUACGUGCCAGCAGCCGCGGUAA
rnacentral:rRNA from 1 species